rnacentral:rRNA from 1 species
UACGUAGGGACCAAGCGUUGUUCGGAUUUACUGGGCGUAAAGGGCGCGUAGGCGGCAAUUCAAGUCAUCUGUGAAAUCUCCGGGCUUAACCCGGAACGGUCAGAUGAUACUGCUUUGCUAGAGUGCGGAAGGGGCAAUCGGAAUUCUCGGUGUAGCGGUGAAAUGCGUAGAUAUCGAGAGGAACACCUGAGGUGAAGACGGGUUGCUGGGCCGACACUGACGCUGAGUGCGCGAAAGCCAGGGGAGCAAACGGGG